rnacentral:lncRNA from 1 species
CUAGGCUCCGCAGAUCCUCAGAUCAUCACCUUUUAACUGGCCGGGGAGAGGAGAUUCUUCUGCAGUACUGUUACAUGCCUUCCAGCUUCGAGACAUGCCUUCAAGAUGCUCAGUCCAUCUGGAUCCACAGUGGUCUCUGGAGAGCAAACAACCAGGAAGGAACUCAUAACCCCCCUCCUCCCCCCUCCUCCCCCCGUCUGGCAGAGACCUCUCCCGCUCGUCUCCCCUCUCUCUUGCUGUCUUCUUUCGUUCCGUCGCACCUCGUGAGCUAUCACUGUGCCACCCGCCGCCACAGACCUUUCGCAUCCUCCCUCGACGCUGCGGCCAUUUAACAAAGGCUUUACUCUCGAGUGACCACUACGCUGGUGUAUUUUCCGCAUUCCGCCGAACGUCGCGGCUCGAGUUUAUGAGUUGUUGCCUCCUCCAUCACAUUGUCUAUUCGCACAGGCCAUAUGUAGGCCACAGAAACAGAGCCAGCGGAGAAGAUGUCCUAUUCCCUGUUAUCAUCUGUUGGAAAAUAAAUAUCUGAGCAUGUCCA